AACCCCAGUGAAGCCUAAUAAACAAUCAACUAUUGUGAACUGGACUGCUUUGUUUCCGCUGCGCUACUCGGUAAAUCAGUCGAACACUUUGAGAGCGGCGCACGAGGGCAAAGGAAGAAGAUGCUCCUCGCGAGAACCCACACUCCUCCCCUCUCCCUCUCGAAUCCCCUCCAAAACGCUAACCCUAACCCUAACCCUAACCCUAGCCGUGGUUUCCUAUCCACCACCCGUCUUCGGCCCCCGCGCUCCGGCGCCGCCGCGUUGACCGCCGCGGCGCCGGCGCCGGCGCCGGUGCAGGCGCUUCAAACGCCGCCUCAGCCGCGCGUGGACGUGCUCUCGGAGUCGCUCCCCUUCAUCCAGCGGUUCCGCGGGAAGACGAUCGUGGUGAAGUACGGCGGCGCCGCCAUGAAGUCGGAGGCGCUCCAGAAGUCGGUGGUGAAGGACCUCGUCCUCCUCUCCUGCGUCGGCCUCCGCCUCGUCCUCGUCCACGGCGGCGGCCCCGAGAUCAACGAGUGGCUCCUCCGCGUCGGCGUCGAGCCCCAGUUCCACAACGGCCUCCGCGUCACCGACGCCCAAACCAUGGAGGUCGUCGAGAUGGUCCUCGUCGGCAAGGUGAACAAGUCCCUCGUCUCCCUCCUCAACGCCGAGGGCGCCACCGCCGUCGGCCUCUGCGGCAAGGACGCUCGCCUCAUCACCGCGCGUCCCACCCCCGACGCCGCCGCGCUAGGGUUCGUGGGCGAGGUCGCGCGCGUGGACCCCGCCGUCCUCCGUCCGAUCAUCGGCGACGCCUACAUCCCCGUGAUCGCCACCGUUGCCGCAGACGAGGCCGGCCAGACCUACAACAUCAAUGCCGACACGGUCGCCGGAGAGAUCGCCGCCGCUGUCGCCGCGGAGAAGCUGAUCCUGCUCACAGAUGUGCCCGGGAUCCUUGCGGACCGCGACGAUCCCGGAAGCCUUGUUAAGGAGAUCGACAUAAGUGGAAUAAGGAACAUGAUAAAGGAGGGGAAGGUGGCGGGGGGGAUGAUACCAAAGGUUAAUUGCUGCAUUAGGGCCCUUGCUCAAGGGGUUCGCACGGCUAGCAUUAUCGAUGGCCGGCUCCCGCACUCGCUUCUCCUCGAGAUCCUAACCGACGAAGGUGCUGGAACCAUGAUCACCGGUUGAAUUGCGACAUUUUAAAGGGGGCGGGUUCAUGAAGUUUUGAGUAUUUUCAAGCUUUCCUGGAACGUUGAAUUGGCUUCUGCAUUUGGAAUAUUAAGUGCGGUAAAGUUCUUCCAGCUGAGGUCAUACAUGGGUUCCAGAAGCCCUGUUGCGCUGGGCUUAAUUGCAAUACCAACUUCAAUUAUAGGUCUCUGGUAGGCCUAUUUAUUGUGCUACAGGUGUUCUAAUAGGCAGUGUCAAGAAAAAAGUAGAUGAAAGAAAUUAGUGGUGAAUGAUAAGAUUUGAAGUGAUCUACACUCCAGAUGUAACACAUUUCAUUAAAAACAAUACAGCUUGUGUGGUUUGCUAGUGGAAUACUGCCCUUUCACUGUAAUCUCAUGAUGAUCUGGAACAGUUUACAGUAUCAAAUGCUUCUUAUUAUUGAUUGCUAUCUCCAUAUUGUGGAUCC